AACGAACGCUGGCGGCAUGCCUAACACAUGCAAGUCGAACGAGACCUUCGGGUCUAGUGGCGCACGGGUGCGUAACGCGUGGGAACCUGCCCUUAGGCUCGGAAUAACUCCCCGAAAGGGGUGCUAAUACCGGAUAAUGUCUUCGGACCAAAGAUUUAUCGCCUUUGGAUGGGCCCGCGUUGGUUUAGCUAGUUGGUAGGGUAAAAGCCUACCAAGGCGACGAUCCAUAGCUGGUCUGAGAGGAUGAUCAGCCACACUGAGAGUGAGACACGGCCCAGACUCCUACGGGAGGCAGCAGUGGGGAAUAUUGGACUAUGGGCGAAAGCCUGAUCCAGCAAUGCCUCGUGAGUGAUGAAGGCCUUAGGGUUGUAAAGCUCUUUUACCCGGGAUGAUAAUGACAGUACCGGGAGAAUAAGCUCCGGCUAACUCCGUG
rnacentral:rRNA from 1 species